CUCUGCAUGGUGUAGUUGGUUCAUCACGCUCGGCUGUAACUGCAAAAUGUCCACCGAAAGGUCCCUAGUUCGAUUCAGGGUGAGGAGA